GACGAAUGCUGGCGGCGUGCUUAACACAUGCAAGUCGAACGGAAAGGCCCUGCUUGCAGGGUACUCGAGUGGCGAACGGGUGAGUAACACGUGGGUGAUCUGCCCUGCACUUCGGGAUAAGCCUGGGAAACUGGGUCUAAUACCGGAUAGGAGCCAUUUUUAGUGUGAUGGUUGGAAAGUUUUUUCGGUGUAGGAUGAGCUCGCGGCCUAUCAGCUUGUUGGUGGGGUAAUGGCCUACCAAGGCGGCGACGGGUAGCCGGCCUGAGAGGGUGGACGGCCACAUUGGGACUGAGAUACGGCCCAGACUCCUACGGGAGGCAGCAGUGGGGAAUAUUGCACAAUGGGCGCAAGCCUGAUGCAGCGACGCCGCGUGGGGGAUGACGGCCUUCGGGUUGUAAACUCCUUUCGCUAGGGACGAAGCUUUCGUGACGGUACCUGGAUAAGAAGCACCGGCUAACUACGUG
rnacentral:rRNA from 1 species